CAGAAGAAUGUUUUUGUACCGUGGUUGCAAACAGCAACCUCCUCUGUAGUGUAUGUAGCCUGUUCCUUGUAUUGGCUGCUGGAAGGGACGUUGGAGACAGUU
rnacentral:snoRNA from 1 species